rnacentral:rRNA from 1 species
AUACGUAGGUGACAAGCGUUAUCCGGAUUUACUGGGCGUAAAGGGCGUGUAGGCGGUCUUGCAAGUCAGAAGUGAAAUUCCUGAGCUCAACUCGGGCGCUGCUUCUGAAACUGCAGGACUUGAGUGCUGGAGGGGAUAGCGGAAUUCCUAGUGGAGCGGUAAAAUGCGCAGAUAUUAGGAAGAACACCGGUGGCGAAGGCGGCUAGCUGGAACGAAACGGACGCAGAGGCACGAAACCGGGGGGAGCGAACAGGAUUAGAUACCCUGGUAGUCCUCGCCGUAAACGAUGAAUACUAGGUGUAGGGGGUAUCGACUCCCUCUGUGCCGCAGUUAACACAAUGAGUAGUCCGCCUGGGGAGUACGGCCGCAAGGUUGAAACUCAAAUGAAUUGACGGGG